GUUUGAACACAAACAGCAAAAAAUGCAAAAAUGGCUUGUGUCCUUAAAGUCCAGUUUUUGCAGCUGGGUCCUUAACGGGUUAAUGUUUCUGCUCUCUGCAGUAUAUUGUGUUUCGCAGGGAACCUACCUGCUCCCAUAUCUCACAGUACUAAUUUCUUAUUAUACCUGAUUGUAACAAUAAAUUAUUUGAUGCUAGGUGGUCCCCUCACCUGCCUCCAAA